UACGGAGGGGGCUAGCGUUGUUCGGAAUUACUGGGCGUAAAGCGCACGUAGGCGGCUUUGUAAGUUAGAGGUGAAGGCCCGGAGCUCAACUCCGGAAUUGCCUUUAAGACUGCAUCGCUAGAAUUGUGGAGAGGUGAGUGGAAUUCCGAGUGUAGAGGUGAAAUUCGUAGAUAUUCGGAAGAACACCAGUGGCGAAGGCGACUCACUGGACACAUAUUGACGCUGAGGUGCGAAAGCGUGGGGAGCAAACAGG
rnacentral:rRNA from 1 species